rnacentral:rRNA from 1 species
ACUCCUACGGGAGGCAGCAGUAGGGAAUCUUCCACAAUGGACGCAAGUCUGAUGGAGCAACGCCGCGUGAGUGAAGAAGGGUUUCGGCUCGUAAAGCUCUGUUGUUAAAGAAGAACGUGGGUGAGAGUAACUGUUCACCCAGUGACGGUAUUAACCAGAAAGCCACGGCUAACUACGUGCCAGCAGCCGCGGUAAUACGUAGGUGGCAAGCGUUAUCCGGAUUUAUUGGGCGUAAAGCGAGCGCAGGCGGUCUUUUAAGUCUAAUGUGAAAGCCUUCGGCUCAACCGAAGAAGUGCAUUGGAAACUGGGAGACUUGAGUGCAGAAGAGGACAGUGGAACUCCAUGUGUAGCGGUGAAAUGCGUAGAUAUAUGGAAGAACACCAGUGGCGAAGGCGGCUGUCUGGUCUGUAACUGACGCUGAGGCUCGAAAGCAUGGGUAGCGAACAGGAUUAGAUACCCCUGGUAGGAAUAGCG